GUGAAAAAGGAAGCGCACAUUUGCUAAAACCUUUGUGUGCAUAAUGCGUGUGUUGUGUACUCCCAACCGGUCCUGACUGACAGUCCACCUUGGAAGGACCACAGCCCCAAAGUGGUAGAUCCGGGAACUGAAUGUGAAAAUUUUAAGCUGUAAAGCCCAUCUUUCCUCCCACCUCCCUCACUACCCAAAGACCUCCCACCCUCAACUGUUAGGAGGGCAACUUUUCGGUGGCCUUUUCGGACCAUCUGUUCCUGGGAUGCAAAGGAAUUCCUUCGGGUGGUGAGGACACAAGACAGAAGCCUCCUUCGUCUCCCGCCUUGGGGCGGUCACACCUGCGCCACGGCUCUGGGUUUCAAAGUUGCUUCAGCCGCCCCUGGUCUGUGCCUGACCUCCUCUGCCUCCCUUCCACCACGGGGGACCCUGACGGCAGGUGCAUCGCAGGCCCGGCAGGGCGGCGUUCGGGGCGCGGGAGCGCUGCGCGUCCCCAGUGGAGGGAACGCUCCCCGGCAGCUGCGAUGGAGAAGCCGGCCAGCGAGACCCUCGCCGCUGGCUUCCAGUCCGUGGAGGAGGACGUGAGCUCCGCAUUACGGGGCCAGUGGUGUCUGUGACUGAAGAAGGCGGAGAGCGGUCUCUGGAGCCCGCCCCAACUUCACACACCCACUUCCAGGCCCUUCGCGGAACAAUGCGCGCAGCCGCAGACACCCCCCCGCGGGAGGAACUGCGCCAGCUCAGCUCUGCCCCCGCCCCCACUGCUAAAUUAGAAACAAAGCUGUAGCAGGUGAACAUUUACUGACAGAAUGGAAGAAAAGGUAGGAAGAUGGAAAAUAACGCUUCUAAGUACUGGCCUAGGCCGAGCACGUAAAAACCCCACAAAUUAAGAGUAUCGGAAAAACCCAAACUUGGGAAAAAGUACAUAAUGGAUUAACAGGAAGAGCGGAAGAGUGAGGCUGGCAAAUGUGGAAAGCUGGAGAAUAUGCUGUUACGUGGCCACACUUACAAACCAGGCUGACUGGGUCUUGAGUCGUCUCCAGAGACCAACCUCAGUCCUUACUAGAGGAUGGGGCACCUUUGGAAACUUAGGUCCGGCUUUUAAGAAAAUAGGGGGAAGGCAGAG